UUCAGUUCAGUCAUCAUCAUGAUGGUCAUGGUGAUUAGAGAGCUCCCCCAUAAGGAUACGCAGACAAUUCCUCAACUGCAGCUCCCUAAGUUUUCUCCUGAUUUCCCUCAUCUCCUCCAUGAAUAUUUCCAUAUCGUCUCCCUCUCCACCCAUCCCAUCAUUGACCUGUCUAUUGGGUAUAACCCAUCGGAAAUUAGGGGCAAGUCGGCGAGCCUGUCCCCGUCUAUGAUUUCUUUCUGGCUGGUGGCCUUCGCCCCCUCCCAAAGGGCGGUCUUCCUCUCCGUUCUGCACGGGUUGCUCCAUUUCUUCGUUUUCCUGGCCUAUCCUUGCUGUCUCUUGCUCCUUCUGAUCCUCGCCACGAGUGCGCCGCCGCCACACUUGGUUCGGCAGACCUGCAAAGGGCCAGGGUGGGGACAGGAGGCUGCUGCAGCCGGGCGCUUGGCGCCUUCCCGACCCCGCGUCCCCUACUCCCACCAAC
rnacentral:lncRNA from 1 species